AUUGAACGCUGGCGGCAGGCCUAACACAUGCAAGUCGAACGAGGGGCGGAUGGGUGAGUAAUGUGGGGAAAACUGCCAGAUGGAGGGGGAUCACUAGUGGAAACGGUAUCUUAUAGCACAUUCUCAGGGAUGUGCCCAGAUGGGAUUAGCUGGUAGGUGGGGUAAAGGCUCACCUAGGCGACGAUCCCUAGCUGGUCAGAGAGGAUGACCAGCCACACUGUAACUGAGACACGGUCCAGACUCCUACGGGAGGCAGCAGUGGGGAAUAUUGCACAAUGGGCGCAAGCCUGAUGCAGCCAUGCCGCGUGUGUGAAGAAGGCCUUCGGGUUGUAAAGUACUUUCAGCGGGGAGGCGUUACCCGCAGAAGAAGCACCGGCUAACUCCGUGCCAGCAGCCGCGGUAAUUC
rnacentral:rRNA from 1 species